UUUCCGUAGGUGAACCUGCGGAAGGAUCAUUGUCGAAACCUGCCCAGCAGAACGACCCGCGAACUUGUAUAAACAACCGGGGGCGGGGGGCGUUCUCGCCCCGUGCCCCCGAACGGCGGGGAGACACUCGUGCCUUCUUGCCGAACAACGAACCCCGGCGCGGUCUGCGCCAAGGAACUUCAACUAAAGAGUGCCUCCGGUCGCCUCGGAAACGGCGUGCGUGCCGGGGGCGAAUCUUGUGCAAAACCAUAACGACUCUCGGCAACGGAUAUCUCGGCUCUCGCAUCGAUGAAGAACGCGGC
rnacentral:misc_RNA from 1 species